UCCACUCCGGAGUGCUCCAACUUGUCCCUCAGAAGCAACGGCUGAAUGGUGUUGAAGGCACUUGAGAAAUCAAAAAACAUUAUCUUCACAUACUCCUUUUCCACCAACGCGAACCGGGUUCUGGUUCGGGGCUGGUGCUCGCGCUGUUUCGGAGCUGGUUCAACUCGUGAACCAACACAGCACCUGUUUGUUUUUCCACUCACUUGAGUCAGUGACGGAGGCACUUCAUGACGUCAGAUUUACGUGACCGCUUUUCAGCGCUAGUGGGAACUUUCCCUCACAACAACAACGAUGGCAGACAACGUAGCAUGAUUGCUGGUGUUGCUCCUGGCUUUUCAAAAUCAGAUGAGGGCCCGGAGAGAACUGACCCAACUGUAUCAACAGUUCCGUGCUACUCAGCGUUCUCUGCAUGGACGGCGCUUUCAUACGAGAAGAAAUAUAGUCUUCACGAAGAUGGCGAGGCGGAGGUCGCCUGUUGUCUGGGCACCUCCAGAAUCACAUUCCUUGAAGCAAGUUUGUUAAUGUUCCUAGUUUUGUCAGUAUUCCUGUUUUGUCAAUGUUCAUGUUUUGAUUGAAAAUGCAAUGAAUCACA